AUAAACGAAGGCACGUGUUUAACUUCUCCUCUUCUCCAUCAACCACUCAUGCCACUUGUCAAAGCUGUGAGUAUACAUACAUACUACUACUUCCAUUUCAGCAGAGUCAACAUUGUGAUUCUCCAAGUGACCUCAAACUGUCUUCUUCUUCAUCUUCAAUAUAGCAAAACUAUCGCCCAUCAAAACUGCUCAACAUUUUAAUCGCUUCACUUUCUGUAGCUUUCCUCUCCUCUGUACCUCUCACCCAAUGUCGACAGCCUCUUCCUCGAUAACUGACGACGCCGAAGCUCUACGCCGUCACCGUAUUCUUUCUAGCCACCUAUAUUUCGAUGUGCCUUCUUCUAAGGUUCCUGUGAUAUACUCGUCAUUCUACAACAUUACUUUUCUCGGGAUUGAAAAACUGCAUCCAUUUGACUCUUCUAAAUGGGGACGAAUCUGUUGGUUUCUCACUAAGGAAGGUAUCAUGGACCAAAAGCAAGUAGUUGAGCCUGUGGAGGCAACAAAAGAUGAUCUGCUAGUGGUGCAUUCUGAAUCAUACCUGAAAAGUUUGAACAGCAGCUUGAAUGUCUCCAUGAUUGUUGAGGUACCUCCUCUUGCGAUGGUUCCUAAUUGCCUUGUGCAAAAGAAAGUGCUUCACCCAUUCCGCAAGCAGGUGGGAGGAACAAUUUUGGCUGCAAAGCUUGCAAAAGAACGGGGAUGGGCUAUUAAUGUUGGUGGUGGAUUUCAUCAUUGCUCAUCGGAGAAAGGAGGCGGUUUUUGUGUUUAUGCUGAUAUAUCUCUUUGUAUACAUUUUGCAUUUGUUCGUUUAAAUAUUUCAAGAGUUAUGAUAAUUGACCUUGAUGCACACCAAGGAAACGGCCAUGAGGUGGACUUCUCUGAGGACAGAAAAGUAUUUAUCCUUGAUAUGUACAAUCCCGGAGUUUAUCCACUUGAUUUCGAAGCCAGGCGUUACAUUGAUCUAGGAGUUGAAGUUAAGAGUGGGACUGCGACAGAUGAAUACUUGACUAAGCUAGAUCAUGCACUUGAGGGAAGAUGCGCCAAUACACCCCCUCAAGUUGAAGGUGAAAUCAACAACCUUAUACUUGGGAAGAUGUCUGUGAAAGAGCAGACGACACAAAGGCUUUGUAAGUGUGUCUGCAAGCUGAUCCGCAGCAUGUGGCACACCUGGUUUUGCUGCACUUGAUCUCUAACGAAGUGAAAAUCAACUUCAAUGUGCUUCGUCCCGCUAUGCAAGACAGGAUUUUGACAUAGAUAAGUGGCACCAACAUUAUCACAAUAGAUUAUUGGUGGUUUAGGCAGCUUGUUAGGAAUUUGCUUUUGACCUGCAGUUAACUUAUUUUUAUUGCCUUAGUAUUAAAUAAGACUUAGUCAAUUAGUUGUUAGCUAUCUAUUCCUAUUAUUUAGGAGCUAGUUAGUGAUUAAGUGAAGUGCAGGUCGUGGGUUUACUGUUUUUUUUUUAUUCUAGGUCUCAUAAAUGUAACCAGUAGUUAUCAAUCUUGUUCUUCUGCUGAUAUUGUUUUCACUUCUCUACUUUUUAAUAUCUUGUUCUUAUGAAAUUUACCAACAAAUUGGUAUCCAGAGCUUUUUUUUCUUGCGGGAUCUGUGAGUAUUUCGGUGAGUGAGUGUUUCAAGUGACUCCAGCACCACAACCAGAAACAGCAAAAGAUCAAACAUGGAAGAAAGUUGAAGUUUCUCGGCAAUGGCACCUCCUGUCUUUAAUGGUGAAAAUUUUCACAUGUGGGCAGUGCGGAUGGAACCUUAUCUCAAAGCUUUAGAUCUUUGGGAGGCAAUUGAAGAAGAUUAUGAAGUUCUUCCACUACCCGGAAACCCAACAAUGGCUCAAAUCAAAAAUCACAAGGACAAAAAAACCAGAAAAUCUAAGGCAAAGACGUGUCUUUUUUCAGCAGUCUCUUCAACGAUUUUCACUCAUAUUAUGUCUCUAAAAUCAGCAAAAGACAUCUGGGAUUAUCUCAAGGCAGAAUAUGAAGGAGAUGAUCGUAUCAAAGGUAUGCAAGUGCUGAAUCUCAUUAGAGACUUUGAGUUACAGAAGAUGAACGAAUCGGAAACCAUCAAAGAAUACUCUGACAGGCUUAUGAACAUAGCAAACAGAGUAAGAUUACUUGGUUCUGAGUUUAAAGACUCACGUAUUGUUGAAAAGAUUCUGGUCACUGUUCCUGAAAGAUUUGAAGCCACCAUUACCACUUUGGAGAACACCAAGGAUCUGUCAAAAAUUACUUUGGCGGAAUUAUUGAAUUCCUUGCAGGCUCAAGAACAAAGAAGGGUUAUGAGAGAAGAUGGAAUUAGAGAGGGAGCACUGGCGGCCAAACAUGAAGAUAGUGGAAGAUACAAAAAGAAAAACAAUAAGAAGAACCAGCCAACACACGGACAAGGAGCUCGCUACAACAACAAAAGCAAAGCAGGUAGCUUCAAAGGAAACUAUCCACCUUGUAAGCAUUGUGGAAAGAAUGGACACGCGCCGUGUAAGUGUUGGAAAAGGACGGAUGCUAAGUGAAGUAAGUGCAACCAACUCGGGCACAAAGCAAUUAUCUGCAAGAAUAAAUUGCAGCAGCAUGACGCAGAUGCCCAGGUUGUUGAUGAACCGGAAGAGGAUCAACUCUUUGUGGCAUCGUGUUUUGCAAGCAACGUUUCAACAGAGGCUUGGCUGAUUGAUAGCGGAUGCACAAACCAUAUGACUCAUGACAAAGAGCUCUUUAAAGACUUGAAAGCCUGCCAGAAUUACUAAAGUCAGAAUAGGUCGUGGCGGUUAUAUUCCAGUAAAAGGAAUGGGAACCAUUACAAUUGAAACACAAUCAGGCACUAAAGCAAUUUCUGACGUUCUUUAUGUACCAGAUUUAGACCAGAACUUGUUAAGUGUUGGUCAAUUGUUAGAAAAAGGUUUCAAAUUGUAUUUCGAAGAUAAACAUUGCUUGAUCAAGGAAGCCUCAGGACAUGACUUAUUUAAAGUCAAAAUGAGAGGCAAAAGUUUCUCAUUAAAUCCACUGGAGGAAGAACAAGUUGUGUAGAACUUCUUUUGAAAGUGCCUUUAUUUGGACAACUGUAGGAUUGCAAAGCAUUGUUGCAGAGAAGAAAUUUGAUCCCGAUUUAGUUGUUUAUAAUGCUGGUACUGAUAUCUUGGAUGGGGAUCCACUUGGCAGGUU